GAUGAACGCUAGCUACAGGCUUAACACAUGCAAGUCGAGGGGAAACGGCAUUAAGUGCUUGCACUUUUUGGACGUCGACCGGCGCACGGGUGAGUAACGCGUAUCCAACCUUCCCAUGACUAAGGGAUAACCUGCCGAAAGGCAGACUAAUACCUUAUGGUCUUCACUGACGGCAUCAGAUGUGAAGUAAAGAUUGAUCGGUUAUGGAUGGGGAUGCGUCUGAUUAGCUUGUUGGCGGGGUAACGGCCCACCAAGGCAACGAUCAGUAGGGGUUCUGAGAGGAAGGGCCCCCACAUGGGAACUGAGACACGGUCCAAACUCCUACGGGAGGCAGCAGUGAGGAAUAUUGAUCAAUGGGCGAGAGCCUGAACCAGCCAAGCAGCGUGCAGGAUGACGGCCCUAUGGGUUGUAAACUGCUUUUGUAUGGGGAUAAAGUCAAUCACGUGUGAUUGUUUGCAGGUACCAUACGAAUAAGGACCGGCUAAUUCCGUG
rnacentral:rRNA from 1 species